rnacentral:rRNA from 1 species
GGAAAGUUUCGCGAAACAGGGUGAUAGCCCCGUACACGAAACGGUUAGUUGGACAUAUUAAGUAGGGCGGGGCACGUGAAACCUUGUCUGAAGAUCGGGGGACCAUCCUCGAAGGCUAAAUACUCGUUAUCGACCGAUAGUGAACCAGUACCGUGAGGGAAAGGCGAAAAGAACCCCGGAGAGGGGAGUGAAAUAGAACCUGAAACCGGAUGCGUACAAGCAGUGGGAGCUCUUCGGAGUGACUGCGUACCUUUUGUAUAAUGGGUCAACGACUUAUUUUCAGUAGCAAGGUUAAGCACAUAGCGGAGCCGUAGG